rnacentral:other from 1 species
GUUGUCCUGCCCUGCUCGUGAUGGGCCUUUUAAACCCACAUUUAUAAUAAGGGAUGCCGGCUCUCCGGGCGGAAUCGCAGGCCUCCCGCGCGGUGCGCACACGGAUCAUUCCGCGUAAGCCGCCGGCGGACGUUGGAAGCGGAGAAGUUUAGAGGAGGCAACCCACCUGUUUUUUAUAGAGGCAGGGUUUAUAAAUGGGUUCACACGGCAGGCGCGGGACGCGC